GCCCAGGUGCUGAAAUUGGUAGACAGGCCGCCUUGAGGGGGCGGUGUCCUUUGGACGUGGGGGUUCGAGUCCCCCUCUGGGCA
rnacentral:tRNA from 1 species